rnacentral:piRNA from 1 species
UUGGACACGUGUUGAUGUGGAUGGCACUC